AUUGAACGCUGGCGGAAUGCUUUACACAUGCAAGUCGAACGGCAGCACGGGGCAACCUGGUGGCGAGUGGCGAACGGGUGAGUAAUACAUCGGAACGUGCCCAAUCGUGGGGGGAUAACGUAGCGAAAGUUACGCUAAUACCGCAUACGAUCUACGGAUGAAAGCGGGGGAUCGCAAGACCUCGCGCGAAUGGAGCGGCCGAUGUCAGAUUAGGUAGUUGGUGGGGUAAAGGCUCACCAAGCCAACGAUCUGUAGCUGGUCUGAGAGGACGACCAGCCACACUGGAACUGAGACACGGUCCAGACUCCUACGGGAGGCAGCAGUGGGGAAUUUUGGACAAUGGGCGCAAGCCUGAUCCAGCCAUUCCGCGUGCAGGAUGAAGGCCUUCGGGUUGUAAACUGCUUUUGUACGGUAACGAAACGGCGAGCUCUAAUACAGUUUGCUAAUGACGGUACCGUAAGAAUAAGCACCGGCUAACUACGUGCCAGCAGCCGCGGUAAAG
rnacentral:rRNA from 1 species